UAUAUAGAUCAGUUAUCUUCAUAAAAAUAUGAAUUGCAAACAUUCGCAAAUAACGGAACAAACAUCCGCAAGUUGCUUAAUAAUUUUAAUACUUUCAAUAAACCGUAUCAAUUCAUAAUUUAUUUAUUUCUCAUAGAAAGAUUGAAGUCGUUGAGCAAAAUUACGAGUUACAUUGUAUACUUUUUCCCAAGACGUAUAAAAUGAAUCUAACGUCUUAACGAGUUUUUAAUGUCUCCCAUGAGAGUAACAUAUUAUAGUAGAUAGUAACUUCGAUUCGUUGCUCGUUCCCGUGAAAACAUGAUAAUUAUUCCCAGUUUUUCUAAAUAUUUAUUGUUCGUAAAUAUUUUUUUACACGGAUAAGUUUAUUCUAUACCGAGUUAAAUAGAAGCUGUAAUCACGAUCAAGAAUCACCUGUUAAAAAGUCCUUUGAUAUAGAUUCUGACCUUUAUAAUUCAGAUUUCUUUACAAUUAAAACUUCAAUGACCUCGUUUUUUUUUUCGAAGCGAUUUUAAUUUUUAUAUCUGGGAAAAAUAAAAUUUCUCUUCGUUGAAAAACAUAUUCGAUUUUCAAUUAUUUUCAAAAUUUUCUUAAAUAUUCCAUUCAAAAUCGACUGAUUUUUAAUAAUAAUAAUAAUAUACACGUUUCUUCUA